UUGAUCCUGGCUCAGAUUGAACGCUGGCGGCAUGCCUUACACAUGCAAGUCGAACGGCAGCACGGGGGCAACCCUGGUGGCGAGUGGCGAACGGGUGAGUAAUACAUCGGAACGUGUCCUGUAGUGGGGGAUAGCCCGGCGAAAGCCGGAUUAAUACCGCAUACGAUCUACGGAAGAAAGCGGGGGAUCGCAAGACCUCGCGCUAUAGGGGCGGCCGAUGGCAGAUUAGCUAGUUGGUGGGGUAAAGGCCUACCAAGGCGACGAUCUGUAGCUGGUCUGAGAGUGACGACCAGCCACACUGGGACUGAGACACGGCCCAGACUCCUACGGGAGGCAGCAGUGGGGAAUUUUGGACAAUGGGGGAAACCCUGAUCCAGCAAUGCCGCGUGUGUGAAGAAGGCCUUCGGGUUGUAAAGCACUUUUGUCCGGAAAGAAAACUUCUGCCCUAAUACGGUGGGAGGAUGACGGUACCGGAAGAAUAAGCACCGGCAU
rnacentral:rRNA from 1 species